AAGCCGACCUGGAAUAUUAAGACCCUGUCUCACAAAAAACAAAAAUAAAUAAAUGAAACUGAGGUAGGGCCUCUCUAAAUUGCUCAUGCUAGACUCAGACUGGUGAACCUCCUGCCUCAGCCACGAGUCACUGGGAUCACAGGCGUAUGCUACCCCGCCUGGCCUGCGGUGCCUUCGUGAGGCCUUCGUUUCCUCAACUCCCCGAUGAGCCUCCCCUGGCUGGGCACCGCCAUUUUACAAGGCUGCUCCUGUCACUCCAGCCAGGGUGAAGCCUGCCCGUGCCAAGGGUGACAAGAGUGGACGCUGCCUCCCUGGCCCGGUCCAGCUCCCAGCGGUAGGCAGUGGCCUUUCCAACCAGAGGGUAACAGCUGCCCUGAGAUGACUCCCUGGCCAGAGCCGAGGAUGCGCCCCAGACCCCCAGCCUCACAGGCGCCUUCACUGAGGAUGGACGGCAGCCACCCCUUCCCAGCCCGCCCCUCAGCUGCUGUGCCUGUUGCUGGAGGAAGUGCUCAAGGGCUGCCUGUGCUGUGGUUCCCGCUGAACCAUUAGUGCCUACAAUACCAUGUACAGUACACGUUCAAGUUGGAACUGGAACCCAGAGCCCCAGGUGUGCUGUGCAGUGCUCUCCUGCGAGCCCCACCCUGCCUACCUGACACCUGCAGGUGCUGCUUUACUUGAGCCUGCCCAGCAGGACGGAAGCUCUCCAAGGACAAACUUUGCUUUCUUGCUAACCAUUUUAUUCUUAGUGCCUGGAAUAGUUACUAUAUAAUCCACGCUUCAUAAAUACUCAAAAGAAUGAACAGAAAAAAUGAUGAUGAGCCAGGUCUGGUGGUAUGGGGCUGAGGUGGGAGAUUAUAAAAUUCCAGCACAGCCGGGGGAACUUAAUGAGAUCUUCUUAAAUAAGAAUUUUAAAAAGGGCUGGGGAUACAGCUCAGUGGUAGAGCCAUCG